CCUGAGCCCUGCGCUGCGGGGUGGAGCGCUGUGUGUCAUGGUCUCUGAGCCGCCUAAGGCCAACUGCUCCUCAGGUGCUGUCGGAGUCCUGGAGGGUGCGGGGCUGCUGUGGACACCCGCAUCGGAGGUGACUGGGGAUUUUACAGCUCUGAUUAAGCACUUGUGACACACCGUGUCCUAUGUGACUCCCCCUGCAGGAAGCAGGCCCUGCUCACCUCUGAUUUCACUUUCUACUUCAGGUAUGUGUGGCUGCGAUUUGAAGACAUCAAGUAAAAAAAUCCGGAGAAACAAAAAAAUUAAUAAAUUUAGUUUUUCUCCACACUGCUGAACCAUAUGCAACCCAGAAUCCCCAGUGUGUACUGUGCUGUGAGAAUCUGUCCACACUGUACAUGACUGAGGAACUCAGAAGCCAACUGUUAUCAAGUCCAGUGUUCCACAAGCCUGUGACAUUCAUCUUCCUCAUCUCAUCGGCUCAUAAAGUGAGAGCGAAGGUCAGAAAGAGGGAGAGGGAGGGGAGAAAGAGAGAGAGAGAGAGAGAAAGAGAGAGAGAGAGAGAGAGAGAGAGAGAGAGCGAGAGCCAUAUAGUAUGUAACUUCUACCACACUAUCAUUUUAUUCUGCUUUAUAUUUAGUUACUCUUAACUCUUACUUACUGUGGUUUAUUCCCUAAAGCAACUGCACCAUGGAAGUGUGUGGACACAGGGAAACGGAGUGUAGACAGGGUCAGUACCCUGCUGUAUUUGGUCCCCACAGGGGUCUCUUCCCAUGGAGAAGGGGUUCACUGUGCUCAGACAAUGACCCAGGUCCACAGGGACAAUCUCAGGACUAUGGAAUGGAGAUCUGUGCAAAACACAAGCACCUGGAGCCACAGAUGAUCAUCUGGGAAGAAACACUAGGAGUCUGAGUGUAAGCACCAGGCUGUGAAGACAGGAUCCUGAGUGAAGAGGCAAAGUCUCUGUUUACAGCCCAGGUGUUUUGAAGCUGCCAGUACCAUGGGAGAUCACCAGGAACAGCAGCAGUGGAGCCGAAGGAGCCCAGAAGAGGAGCUGUGUGAGCUGCAGAGGGCAGAAAUGGAGAAGGGACCACAGCCCUUCGCAGGGUCCAGAAGGUCGCGAGUGAGUCCCAGACAUUCGACAGUGAGUUUUAUACUGUUGAGUUUGGCUUUGCUUGGAUUAGAUUGAGACAGUGCCCAGCUUCUUCCCUCUUGAAGAAGGUAUUCUCUCUCUCUCUCUCUCUC